rnacentral:rRNA from 1 species
UAGCCGACCUGAGAGGGUGAUCGGCCACACUGGAACUGAGACACGGUCCAGACUCCUACGGGAGGCAGCAGUAGGGAAUCUUCCGCAAUGGGCGAAAGCCUGACGGAGCAACGCCGCGUGAGUGAUGAAGGUCUUCGGAUCGUAAAACUCUGUUAUUAGGGAAGAACAUAUGUGUAAGUAACUGUGCACAUCUUGACGGUACCUAAUCAGAAAGCCACGGCUAACUACGUGCCAGCAGCCGCGGUAAUACGUAGGUGGCAAGCGUUAUCCGGAAUUAUUGGGCGUAAAGCGCGCGUAGGCGGUUUUUUAAGUCUGAUGUGAAAGCCCACGGCUCAACCGUGGAGGGUCAUUGGAAACUGGAAAACUUGAGUGCAGAAGAGGAAAGUGGAAUUCCAUGUGUAGCGGUGAAAUGCGCAGAGAUAUGGAGGAACACCAGUGGCGAAGGCGACUUUCUGGUCUGUAACUGACGCUGAUGUGCGAAAGCGUGGGGAUCAAACAGGAUUAGAUACCCUGGUAGUCCACGCCGUAAACGAUGAGUGCUAAGUGUUAGGGGGUUUCCGCCCCUUAGUGCUGCA